CAAUUGGUCCUUGAACUUUGACCCGAUUCGCAUUUUGGUCUCUCAAUUUUCAAAAUCGUUCACGUCAAAAUGCAAAUCGGGUCAAAAUUCAAAUACCAUUAA
rnacentral:pre_miRNA from 1 species